rnacentral:rRNA from 1 species
UAAUGGCUUAACCAUUAAACUGCUUGGGAAACUGAUAGUCUAGAGUGAGGGAGAGGCAGAUGGAAUUGGUGGUGUAGGGGUAAAAUCCGUAGAUAUCACCAAGAAUACCCAUUGCGAAGGCGAUCUGCUGGAACUCAACUGACGCUAAGGCGCGAAAGCGUGGGGAGCAAACAGGAUUAGAUACCCUGGUAGUCCACGCCCUAAACGAUGUACACUAGUUGUUGGGGUGCUAGUCAUCUCAGUAAUGCAGCUAACGCAUUAAGUGUACCGCCUGGGGAGUACGGUCGCAAGAUUAAAACUCAAAGGAAUAGACGGGGACCCGCACAAGCGGUGGAGCAUGUGGUUUAAUUCGAAGAUACGCGAAGAACCUUACCUGGGCUUGAUAUCCUAAGAACCUUAUAGAGAUAUGAGGGUGCUAGCUUGCUAGAACUUAGAGACAGGUGCUGCACGGCUGUCGUCAGCUCGUGUCGUGAGAUGUUGGGUUAAGUCCCGCAACGAGCGCAACCCACGUAUUUAGUUGCUAACGGUUCGGCCGAGCACUCUAAAUAGACUGCCUUCGUAAGGAGGAGGAAGGUGUGGACGACGUCAAGUCAUCAUGGCCCUUAUGCCCAGGGCGACACACGUGCUACAAUGGCAUAUACAAUGAGACGCAAUACCGCGAGGUGGAGCAAAUCUAUAAAAUAUGUCCCAGUUCGGAUUGUUCUCUGCAACUCGAGAGCAUGAAGCCGGAAUCGCUAGUAAUCGUA